rnacentral:tRNA from 1 species
GCCGGGGUGGUGGAAUUGGUAGACACGCAAGUUUCAGGUAUUUGUGAGGGUAACCUCGUGGAGGUUCGAGUCCUCUUCUCGGCACCA